UGAGGUGCUUGCACCUGAUUGAUUUUGGUCGCCAACGAGUGGCGGACGGGUGAGUAACACGUAGGUAACCUGCCCAGAAGCGGGGGACAACAUUUGGAAACAGAUGCUAAUACCGCAUAACAACGUUGUUCGCAUGAACAACGCUUAAAAGAUGGCUUCUCGCUAUCACUUCUGGAUGGACCUGCGGUGCAUUAGCUUGUUGGUGGGGUAAUGGCCUACCAAGGCGAUGAUGCAUAGCCGAGUUGAGAGACUGAUCGGCCACAAUGGGACUGAGACACGGCCCAUACUCCUACGGGAGGCAGCAGUAGGGAAUCUUCCACAAUGGGCGCAAGCCUGAUGGAGCAACACCGCGUGAGUGAAGAAGGGUUUCGGCUCGUAAAGCUCUGUUGUUAAAGAAGAACACGUAUGAGAGUAACUGUUCAUACGUUGACGGUAUUUAACCAGAAAGUCACGGCUAACUACGUGCCAGCAGCCGCGGUAAUACGUAGGUGGCAAGCGUUAUCCGGAUUUAUUGGGCGUAAAGAGAGUGCAGGCGGUUUUCUAAGUCUGAUGUGAAAGCCUUCGGCUUAACCGGAGAAGUGCAUCGGAAACUGGAUAACUUGAGUGCAGAAGAGGGUAGUGGAACUCCAUGUGUAGCGGUGGAAUGCGUAGAUAUAUGGAAGAACACCAGUGGCGAAGGCGGCUACCUGGUCUGCAACUGACGCUGAGACUCGAAAGCAUGGGUAGCGAACAGGAUUAGAUACCCUGGUAGUCCAUGCCGUAAACGAUGAGUGCUAGGUGUUGGAGGGUUUCCGCCCUUCAGUGCCGGAGCUAACGCAUUAAGCACUCCGCCUGGGGAGUACGACCGCAAGGUUGAAACUCAAAGGAAUUGACGGGGGCCCGCACAAGCGGUGGAGCAUGUGGUUUAAUUCGAAGCUACGCGAAGAACCUUACCAGGUCUUGACAUCUUGCGCCAACCCUAGAGAUAGGGCGUUUCCUUCGGGAACGCAAUGACAGGUGGUGCAUGGUCGUCGUCAGCUCGUGUCGUGAGAUGUUGGGUUAAGUCCCGCAACGAGCGCAACCCUUGUUACUAGUUGCCAGCAUUAAGUUGGGCACUCUAG
rnacentral:rRNA from 2 species